rnacentral:rRNA from 1 species
UUGAACGCUGGCGGCAGGCCUAACACAUGCAAGUCGAACGGUAACAGGAAGCAGCUUGCUGCUUUGCUGACGAGUGGCGGACGGGUGAGUAAUGUCUGGGAAACUGCCUGAUGGAGGGGGAUAACUACUGGAAACGGUAGCUAAUACCGCAUAACGUCGCAAGACCAAAGAGGGGGACCUUCGGGCCUCUUGCCAUCGGAUGUGCCCAGAUGGGAUUAGCUAGUAGGUGGGGUAACGGCUCACCUAGGCGACGAUCCCUAGCUGGUCUGAGAGGAUGACCAGCCCCACUGGAACUGAGACACGGUCCAGACUCCUACGGGAGGCAGCAGUGGGGAAUAUUGCACAAUGGGCGCAAGCCUGAUGCAGCCAUGCCGCGUGUAUGAAGAAGGCCUUCGGGUUGUAAAGUACUUUCAGCGGGGAGGAAGGGAGUAAAGUUAAUACCUUUGCUCAUUGACGUUACCCGCAGAAGAAGCACCGGCUAACUCCGUG